UACGUAGGUGGCAAGCGUUAUCCGGAUUUACUGGGUGUAAAGGGCGUGUAGGCGGGAAUGCAAGUCAGGUGUGAAAUUCCAGGGCUCAACCCUGGAACUGCACUUGAAACUGUAUUUCUUGAGUGAUGGAGAGGCAGGCGGAAUUCCGUGUGUAGCGGUGAAAUGCGUAGAUAUACGGAGGAACACCAGUGGCGAAGGCGGCCUGCUGGACAUUAACUGACGCUGAGGCGCGAAAGCGUGGGGAGCAAACAGG
rnacentral:rRNA from 1 species